AGGACGAACGCUGGCGGCGUGCUUAACACAUGCAAGUCGAGCGGAAAGGCCCUUCGGGGUACGUCGAGCGGCGAACGGGUGAGUAACACGUGAGCAACCUGCCCUUAGCUCUGGGAUAGCUCCGGGAAACCGGAAAUUAAUACCGGAUAUUACACCGGCUGACAUCGGCUGGUGUGGAAAGAUUUAUCGGCUAAGGAUGGACUCGCGGCCUAUCAGCUUGUUGGUGGGGUAGUGGCCUACCAAGGCGACGACGGGUAGCCGGCCUGAGAGGGCGACCGGCCACACUGGGACUGAGACACGGCCCAGACUCCUACGGGAGGCAGCAGUGGGGAAUCUUGCGCAAUGGGCGAAAGCCUGACGCAGCGACGCCGCGUGGGGGAUGAAGGCCUUCGGGUUGUAACCCCUUUCAGCAGGGACGAAGCGAAAGUGACGGUACCUGCAGAAGAAGCGCCGGCUAACUACGCGCCAGCAGCCGC
rnacentral:rRNA from 1 species